UUUAUUGAGAGUUUGAUCCUGGCUCAGGAUGAACGCUGGCGGCGUGCUUAACACAUGCAAGUCGAACGGGGUGCUCAUGACGGAGGAUUCGUCCAACGGAUUGAGUUACCUAGUGGCGGACGGGUGAGUAACGCGUGAGGAACCUGCCUUGGAGAGGGGAAUAACACUCCGAAAGGAGUGCUAAUACCGCAUGAUGCAGUUGGGUCGCAUGGCUCUGACUGCCAAAGAUUUAUCGCUCUGAGAUGGCCUCGCGUCUGAUUAGCUAGUAGGCGGGGUAACGGCCCACCUAGGCGACGAUCAGUAGCCGGACUGAGAGGUUGACCGGCCACAUUGGGACUGAGACACGGCCCAGACUCCUACGGGAGGCAGCAGUGGGGAGUAU
rnacentral:rRNA from 1 species